AUUCCGUGAUGAGGGCACUUCUGUAAUAACUCUUUGUACCUUUCCCAUGCCUCAUACAAUGACUCAUCAUCCAUUUGUUGGAAAGCAGAGAUCUCGUUCCUCAACUU
rnacentral:snoRNA from 1 species